AUAUGCAAAGGCUUAGAAAGAGAUAGAAAAUCAUAAGCUGCCAUGUCAGCUUCAUCCAACUCUCUGUGGAGGAUGUGCAAACGAAAGAUUUGGAAGUCUGGUAAAAAUAAUUAGAUUGAUUUAAAUUAUGGGACUAGAAUCUGUCUGGUUUUUCCAUGUAUCAACUCAUGAAAACUAUAGUCUCUGGUCAAGUUUAUAUAAUCACAGGAAUGAAAAUUUUGUAUAUUCUUAUUUGAAUGAGAUACCAAUUUUAAAAGAAAAAUAUAUGCUUUGGUGAUAUAAAAUUGCUCUUAUAUUUUAGUGUUGAGUUGACCAAACUAGCAGCCCAGAUAACGGGAAGGCAUCCACUAGGAGGUGUGGGGAGCCUUGACUAAUUCAUCUACUAAUCAUUCUUUAGCCGCCUCCUUUACUCUUUCUUUUCCUUUUUCUUUUCUUUUUGGCGUUACCAUCCGUGACCUGAGAAUCUGUGUCUCCCACACAUUUGGCCUGGUACCUUCCUUUGACUGUCCCCAGUGUGAAGAAAGCUCCUCCUUCACCUCUCAGCUCUGGUACUCAGAUUUAAGGGAAACUUUUUCUCUUUUCUCUUAAGAAACUAUGACUUAUUGCAAUUUGUAAGCAGAAUCGAAGCAUUUAUCUUUUUCUCCCUAUGCCAUCCUUCCAGAAUGUGAAAACUCUUGAUGAAUGAUCCAAAAGCCCUGGAGAAAACCUGAAUUAAGGAACUAGACACUGUCAGAUGUCCCUCUACACCAUCUUUGUCAUGGAGACUGGGUCCUAUUAAAAUCCUAGAAACACAAGCACCCAGAAAAUCAACUUCAUCCCCCACUGGAUGGGACCAUACAAGAAAUGCCACAGGGAGCAGGAACCGUGCCAUAGAAGAGCAUCACAACCACGAUCACCCAGACUUUGGCUGGCUUCAUACUCUCCACACUGACUUCCCCAAAUGUUUAGGUGAACCUCUGAUAGACCUCAAGCUGCUGUAUAGAAGACAGUCUCCUAAAGAUAAAUAAUAAAUGACUCCCAGGUUCUUACCUUACUUGUUGGACUAUUAGACAGCAGGCUACUUGGCUACAUCAGAUUUCACUUGCGGCUCCAGGCCCUAACCUUGAUUGGUUUACAGUUCUCUUCUCCUGGAUUCCCCAAGGAUUGAGGUCUGUUAUGGAGGUGAUACUAAAAUUUGGAUUGUCUAUUUUGCUAAUAUGUGUGGUCAUCGAUGUAUGUAAUUAUAAAAUGUGGACUUGUGUUGUUCCAAAGCCAUUCAUCAGAGUACUAAAAUAUUAGUCAUGCAGAACAUACCUCACUCUCCUCCAUUUGGUACCCAAGAAUAUUUUAAAAUAAAAGUAGAACAAUUUCUCUGACCUUGAACUUCAUCCUUGCACAGCAGGAAGCAGCUAGAGCAGCCUUUGGCCCCAUUCCCCAAGAUUGAGGAGUGAUCAUAAGACAGUAGGUAUGGAAAUUGAGCAUGAAGGAGUUAAAGUUUCCCUGGAUUAGCGUGAAACUUGCCUUUUACCCACAAGGUUAACGUGGGAAAUGAAAUAACCAAAGUUUCUGAGCUUGCCUUGCAGAACAGCAGGAGGACCGCUGAUGAGAGAAAGAGAGUUGCUUGCUGGCAGCCCCCACUUGACUAAGCAUGUGGCAGGAGCAUAGAGAAGCUACAAUGACCGAUUGUAAACUUUAGCCAUGUGCUCCCCCUCCCCCACCUAAAACUCCAAAUAAAAAUCCUUACUUGUAGCUUUUCGAGGAGUUUGGGAUUAUAGUGUUAGCUGCCCGUUCUCCUUGCUCAGCACUUUGCAAUAAAAUUCCUACUUUCUUCCACUACACGUGGUGUCAGAGAUUGGCUUGCUGUGCAAUGGAUGAGCAAUAACACAUCUAAAAUAAUUAGAGCAAAGAGCAGCCUUUAUGGAUCUGACACCCUGUGGCCAGACUUUUUUUAAAGAUCUGAAAGAAUGUUUGCAUGCUCAAUACUAAAUAAUGCUUUUUAUUGUGUAGCAAAACACUAAGAACCAUUUAGAUUUAUUUUAUUCACUUCCAACAGAAUAAUUCUGUUGUUUUCCUCAUUUGUUUAUGGCAAACUUGAGUCCUGGAGGAGCAGAAUAAAUAAUUCACUGCAUUACAAUACAAUUUAGUGAGAGAACAAAGAUUAGACAGUCAAUUACGGUAUAACCUACUUCCAGCAACUGGUUACAAGAAGGAAAGAGAUUGUGAAAGAUGUUACAUUAUUAAUAUAUACGACUAUUCCACUGAAUAAAAAAUUCAUUACAAGUGCAAAAUUCUAUAGAAAUAUUGAAAAUAUAUGAGGCAAUGUGACAAAAAAAUAAUAAAGAGAUAACACAAUACAGAAUUACAAAAUAAGGAGGAAAAGAUAAGAAAAAAUUGCCAAUACCAAAACCAGCUCCUUGGAAAAACAGCAUUAUAAAGUAAAUACAAGCAUGUCCCACAGAAGCACGUGAGAUUUCCCGCGGGGAAGAACAGCAAAUGGGAAGGGCGGGCUCUUGCACCUCAGAUCCCAGAGUGACUGUUAGAGGUGUGUGUGCGUGAGUGUGAAGUGUGAGAGGAAAUACGACCCCUGGACUGGCACAUUCUCGUUGUCUUUCUUGAAAACUAGUUAAAUAAAGAGAAGGGACCUGCCUCUAAAGAUACUAAACUGGUGAGUAUGUCAGGAUAAAGAGGAGAAAGGCUGGCUAUUGGGAACAAAGGUGCCGUGCCGAGGAUGAUUGCCAUCCCAAAUUGCCCCAAAUUCCUAACACUGAUGAUUAGAUUUAUGCCCUACAGUCUUCAAUUUUUAAUAAAGAUAUGUCUUUCUUACUAUGAAUAUUUUUAUCUACAUAUGCAUUCAUCUUUCAAUCUAUUUCUAUUUUUCUCUUUCUGUAUGUGUCCAGCUGUGCAUUCAUCUAUGUGCCCACCUCUACCUAUAUGUUUAUUUAUCUACCAUGGUUAUGGAAGUCUGUUUUAUAG